rnacentral:tRNA from 1 species
ACGUCGGGCGCUGGGCGCAGGUUGGACUCCAAAUCCGACCGCGGGGGGUUCGAUUCCUCCACGGCGUGCCA